CCUACGGGAGGCUGCAGUGGGGAAUAUUGGACAAUGGGCGCAACCCUGACCCAGCAACGCCGCGUGAAGGAAGAAGGCUUUCGGUUUGUAAACUUCUUUUCUCAGGGACGAAGAAAGUGACGGUACCUCAGGAAUAAGCCACGGCUAACUACGUGCCAGCAGCCGCGGUAAUACGUAGGUGGCAAGCGUUAUCCGGAUUUAUUGGGUGUAAAGGGAGUGUAGGCGGGAAAGCAAGUCAGAUGUGAAAACUCAGGGCUCAACCCUGGGACUGCAUUUGAAACUGUUUUUCUUGAGUGCUGGAGAGGCAAGCGGAAUUCCGUGUGUAGCGGUGAAAUGCGUAGAUAUAAGGAGGAACACCAGUGGCGAAGGCGGAUUGCUGGACAGUAACUGACGCUGAGGCGCGAAAGCGUGGGGAGCAAACAGGAUUAGAUACCCCUGUAGUC
rnacentral:rRNA from 1 species